UGAGGAAUAUUGGUCAAUGGGCGAGAGCCUGAACCAGCCAAGUAGCGUGCAGGAUGACGGCCCUAUGGGUUGUAAACUGCUUUUAUGUGGGGAUAAAGUGCGUGACGUGUCAUGCAUUGCAGGUACCACAUGAAUAAGGACCGGCUAAUUCCGUGCCAGCAGCCGCGGUAAUACGGAAGGUCCGGGCGUUAUCCGGAUUUAUUGGGUUUAAAGGGAGCGUAGGCUGUCUAUUAAGCGUGUUGUGAAAUAUACCGGCUCAACCGGUGGCUUGCAGCGCGAACUGGUCGACUUGAGUAUGCAGGAAGUAGGCGGAAUUCAUGGUGUAGCGGUGAAAUGCUUAGAUAUCAUGACGAACUCCGAUUGAGCAGGCAGCUUACUGUAGCAUAACUGACGCUGAUGCUCGAAAGUGCGGGUAUCAAACAGG
rnacentral:rRNA from 1 species